ACGCUCGACACCUACGGGAGGCAGCAGUUAGGAAUAUUGGGCAAUGGAGGAAACUCUGACCCAGCAACGCCGCGUGAAGGAAGAAGGUUUUCGGAUUGUAAACUUCUGAUCUAGGGGAAGAAGGAAGUGACGGUACCCUAGGAGAAGGCCACGGCUAACUACGUGCUAGCAGCCGCGGUAAUCUGAGCGGGCUGGCAAGGC
rnacentral:rRNA from 1 species